GACGAACGCUGGCGGCGUGCUUAACACAUGCCAGUCGAACGGUGAAGCGAGUGCUUGCACUCGUGGAUCAGUGGCGAACGGGUGAGUAACACGUGAGUAACCUGCCCAUCACUCUGGGAUAAGCACUGGAAACGGUGUCUAAUACUGGAUACGACCAACCCCUGCAUGGGGUGUUGGUGGAAAGAUUUAUCGGUGAUGGAUGGACUCGCGGCCUAUCAGCUUGUUGGCGGGGUCAUGGCUCACCAAGGCCACGACGGGUAGCCGGCCUGAGAGGGUGACCGGCCACACUGGGACUGAGACACGGCCCAGACUCCUACGGGAGGCAGCAGUGGGGAAUAUUGCACAAUGGGCGAAAGCCUGAUGCAGCGACGCCGCGUGAGGGAUGACGGCCUUCGGGUUGUAAACCUCUUUCAGCAGGGAAGAAGCGAAAGUGACGGUACCUGCAGAAGAAGCACCGGCUAACUACGUG
rnacentral:rRNA from 1 species